rnacentral:rRNA from 1 species
GAUGAACGCUGGCGGCGUGCCUAAUACAUGCAAGUCGAACGGGGAGUAGCAAUACUCUUAGUGGCGAACGGGUGAGUAACGCGUUGGUACCUGCCCCGAAGCGGGGGAUAACGGACCGAAAGGUCCGCUAAUACCCCAUGUGCUCGGUAACGAGUAAAGGUGAAAACCACUUUGGGAGGGGCCUGCGUCCCAUCAGCUAGUUGGUAAGGUAACGGCUUACCAAGGCGAUGACGGGUAGGGGACCUGAGAGGGUGGCCCCCCACAAUGGAACUGAAACACGGUCCAGACAACUACGGGUGGCAGCAGUAGGGAAUAUUGGAAAUGGGCGCAAGCCUGAACCAGCAACGCAGCGUGUGCGAUGACGGCCAUCGGGUUGUAAAGCACUUUUGACUGGGACGAGGAAGGACGGUACCGGUCGAAUCAGCCUCGGCUAACUACGUG